GAUGAAGAACGUAGCGAAAUGCGAUAAGUAAUGUGAAUUGCAGAAUUCAGUGAAUCAUCGAAUCUUUGAACGCACAUUGCGCCCGCCAGCAUUCUGGCGGGCAUGCCUGUUCGAGCGUCAUUUCAACCCUCGAGCCCCCCCGGGGGCCUCGGUGUUGGGGGACGGCACACCAGCCGCCCCCGAAAUGCAGUGGCGACCCCGCCGCAGCCUCCCCUGCGUAGUAGCACACACCUCGCACCGGAGCGCGGAGGCGGUCACGCCGUAAAACGCCCAACUCUUCUGAAGUUGACCUCGAAUCAGGUAGGAAUACCCGCUGAACUUAAGCAUAUCAAUAAGCGGAGGA
rnacentral:misc_RNA from 1 species